rfam:Beta vulgaris subsp. vulgaris chromosome 3, whole genome shotgun sequence.
UGAAAGGAUGAAUGUGCACUGGGCUCUGAAAUUUUUGAUGCAUAUUGCUAGCCCUAGAAAAGCUACAUCUGAUCU